rnacentral:rRNA from 1 species
GAUUGAACGCUGGCGGUAUGCUUAACACAUGCAAGUCGAACGGAAACGAUACUAGCUUGCUAGUAGGCGUCGAGUGGCGGACGGGUGAGUAACGCGUAGGAAUCUACCUGAUAGUGGGGGAUAGCCCGAAGAAAUUCGGAUUAAUACCGCAUAAUCUAUUCGUAGUAAAGUGGGGGACUUUCGAGCCUCACGCUAUCAGAUGAGCCUGCGUAAGAUUAGCUAGUUGGUAGGGUAAAAGCCUACCAAGGCAACGAUCUUUAGCUGGUCUGAGAGGAUGAUCAGCCACAUCGGGACUGAGACACGGCCCGAACUCCUACGGGAGGCAGCAGUGGGGAAUAUUGGACAAUGGGGGCAACCCUGAUCCAGCAAUACCGCGUGUGUGAAGAAGGCCUGAGGGUUGUAAAGCACUUUCAAUUGUGAAGAAAAGCUAGUGGUUAAUAGCCAUUAGCCUUGACAUUAACUUUAGAAGAAGCACCGGCUAACUCCGUGCCAGCAGCCGCGGUAAUACGGAGGGUGCAAGCGUUAAUCGGAAUUACUGGGCGUAAAGCGUGCGUAGGCGGUUUAUUAAGUCAGAUGUGAAAGCCCCGGGCUUAACCUGGGAACUGCAUUUGAAACUGGUCAACUAGAGUAUGGUAGAGGAAAGUGGAAUUUCUGGUGUAGCGGUGAAAUGCGUAGAUAUCAGAAGGAACAUCAAUGGCGAAAGGCAACUUUCUGGACCAAUACUGACGCUGAGGUACGAAAGCGUGGGUAGCAAACAGGAUUAGAUACCCUGGUAGUCCACGCCGUAAACGAUGAUAACUAGCCGUUGGGGGGAUUUACCCCUUAGUGGCGAAGCUAACGCGUUAAGUUAUCCGCCUGGGGAGUACGGCCGCAAGGUUAAAACUCAAAGGAAUUGACGGGGACCCGCACAAGCGGUGGAGCAUGUGGUUUAAUUCGAUGCAACGCGAAGAACCUUACCUGGUCUUGACAUCCUGAGAACUUUCUAGAAAUAGAUUGGUGCCUUCGGGAACUCAGUGACAGGUGCUGCAUGGCUGUCGUCAGCUCGUGUCGUGAGAUGUUGGGUUAAGUCCCGUAACGAGCGCAACCCCUAUCCUUAUUUGCCAGCACAUCAUGGUGGGAACUAUAAGGAGACUGCCGGUGAUAAACCGGAGGAAGGCGGGGACGACGUCAAGUCAUCAUGGCCCUUACGACCAGGGCUACACACGUGCUACAAUGGGAAGGACAAAGAGCCGCGAAGCCGCGAGGUGUAGCUAAUCUCAGAAACCUUUUCGUAGUCCGGAUUGGAGUCUGCAACUCGACUCCAUGAAGUCGGAAUCGCUAGUAAUCGUAGAUCAGAAUGCUACGGUGAAUACGUUCCCGGGUCUGUAC